UACGUAGGGGGCAAGCGUUGUCCGGAAUUAUUGGGCGUAAAGCGCGCGCAGGCGGUUCAUUAAGUUGGGUGUCAAAGGCAAUGGCUCAACCAUUGUACGCACCCAAAACUGGUGAACUUGAGUGCAGGAGAGGGGAGUGGAAUUCCCGGUGUAGCGGUGGAAUGCGUAGAGAUCGGGAGGAACACCAGUGGCGAAGGCGACUCUCUGGCCUGUAACUGACGCUGAGGCGCGAAAGCGUGGGGAGCAAACAGG
rnacentral:rRNA from 1 species